GAAGGUGUAGUUCAAGUGGUAGAGCACAUGCUUACCAUGCACGAAGCCUGGGUUCAAUCCCCAGUACCUCCA
rnacentral:tRNA from 1 species